rnacentral:lncRNA from 1 species
CGCGGACUGCGGAAGAAGGCGUGGCGCCGGGCGCCCAGGGCGCUCAGCUGCUUCAUCCUCCGCUCCUUGGAGCGCCGGUUCUGGAACCAGACCUGCAGCACAUGGCGGCGGGGUGAGGCCACCGAGACUUCACCCCCGACCCCGGGGUGCUCCGGGCCUAGCCAGCACCCCUCCACCGCCCGGCUAGCCGACACCGCGCGCGCGCGCUUGUGUGUGUGUGUAGGGUAGUGGUGACGGUGCGAUCUCUGACUAGGACCACUCAGGGCGGACCCUGAGCCAAUGGUUCCAGAAUGACGCUCGGCCCAUGGACAGAGCCUGCCCAGUCACUCUCGGCUGCUAUUGAUCCCGAGGAUGAUGGCCGCCCCUAGCCAUUUCCCUCCUCUCUCUUCGGUUCCAGAACAGCCCAAGGAGCAGAAAAGAGUGACAAGGCCGUGAAAGGAGGCGCCUGGGGCGUAGCCGGCUCUAGGAGGUUACCCCAUGCGGAGUACACACCCUGCUACACCCAUCCCGGAGGAGGGAGGAAAUAGCCAGCCCGGAGCACCCCUGGACUCUGCCGGUCCCAGAGGCCACGCAAACUCCGCCCAGACUCGGUGAGGCCGCGGUAAUGCCACGCAGGGAACUGCGUGGAUAAGGUCGCUCGGAUCUGAGCGCCAAGGUCUCCCGCCUCUCCUUCCCGUCUAGUUCUCUCCGGACUCAAAUUGCCUUAAUCUCACCCAUCACUCUGUCAUGGAAAUGAUCUACUCGUGUGCAGUACUUUACAGCUUGUAUCACGGUCUCCCCUGAACCGUAUAGCAAGAGGGUGGUGGGGGGUGGAAGAGAAGGGUACCAUCUCCACUUUCCCGGCCAGGAGGCCCAAGUUAGGAGGCUUGUCCGAGAUCCCUAGGUCAGCGCACUAUUUAAGGUGAGAAGUUGGGUGGAGAGCUUGGCACCUUGCUCCAGUGUGCACUUUGCGCCUGGCCAUGUUUUAUAAGCAAGGGGGGCUUGGGCUGUUUAAGGGGGAGCAGGGACCGCAGGGCCAGGAAAGGGCAGCAUCCGGCAGGCCGGGGCGUC